AUGGAAGAGAUAACAACUCCACAAAAAAUUAAUGAGGAGACCUCAGUUACAGCACUCUCCUUGUAUACAUGUACUCUAUGGUUUUGUUGUGUGCUUUGCUUUCAGAAAAAAAUGCCUGAUCUCCUUGCUCCUUGUCCGACGAUUCAGCGUUGGCGACAACGGUUUUCCAACGUCAUGAUCGAAAUUCCAGCCCGCCUCCGACAAUUCAUACCAGACCGGAGACCUGCUCUGGUCUACCCCUCGGAGCCUCUAGUGUUGGGUCCCUUCGAAGAUACCCCUCAGGCACGCGCAGAGAGGGAGUUGCGUGCUGCUAGGUGGCCGAUCUUCGACCCACCAUAUGAGGUCAUUAAUUGGGAGGGCGAUAUUCGUCCUCUCCCCACAUAUGAUGCUUGGAAAAAAAUGCCUGAUCUCCUUGCUCCUUGUCCGACGAUUCAGCGUUGGCGACAACGGUUUUCCAACGUCAUGAUCGAAAUUCCAGCCCGCCUCCGACAAUUCAUACCAGACCGGAGACCUGCUCUGGUCUACCCCUCGGAGCCUCUAGUGUUGGGUCCCUUCGAAGAUACCCCUCAGGCACGCGCAGAGAGGGAGUUGCGUGCUGCUAGGUGGCCGAUCUUCGACCCACCAUAUGAGGUCAUUAAUUGGGAGGGCGAUAUUCGUCCUCUCCCCACAUAUGAUGCUUGGAAAAAAAUGCCUGAUCUCCUUGCUCCUUGUCCGACGAUUCAGCGUUGGCGACAACGGUUUUCCAACGUCAUGAUCGAAAUUCCAGCCCGCCUCCGACAAUUCAUACCAGACCGGAGACCUGCUCUGGUCUACCCCUCGGAGCCUCUAGUGUUGGGUCCCUUCGAAGAUACCCCUCAGGCACGCGCAGAGAGGGAGUUGCGUGCUGCUAGGUGGCCGAUCUUCGACCCACCAUAUGAGGUCAUUAAUUGGGAGGGCGAUAUUCGUCCUCACCCCACAUAUGAUGCUUGGGUCGAUUCAGAGGCUUUGAAGGCUCAAGCAGACGCGAGAAAAAAGGCGGAAAUUUUGGAUAAGCAACAAGACGAAGCGACUCAGCAGCAUGAGAAUUACACUUACCAACUGGCUGUUCGACUCGCUGAACAGGCAGAGAGGCGAAAGCGACAGUAUAAUCAAGAAGUCACACAGUACCAUCACUUCAUCAACGGCCAGAGAGCAGACGAGAAUUCGAUCUGAACGACCCCGAUUACCUCAGGAAAUCAAAGCCGGCAAGAACGUCCGAUGAUGACCCGACUUUGACAAUAUCAUCUGCACAAUGUGAGUGUAUGAUUAAAUAUUUAUACUUCGCCUUAGACUCUAACAUCGUCCUGCGACCUCACUUGCAUCUCCUUCGGAAAGGCAGUCUCAAGGCUUCCGAAUUCCGGGCAUUAUGCCUCUUGAAGUCCCGGGCUAAAUUUCACCUCAGGAUACACUGAGAAAAAAAGUUCGGUCGUAUGAACCGAAUGUUCGGUGUUCAAUAUCGGCCGUAUUGUUUGGUUCAUGCGACCGCUCUCUCGGUUCUGGGAACCGUAUCUUCGGUUCAUGCAACCGAGCAUUUGAACCGAACAAAACUGACGAACAAGCUCGGUUGCAUGAACCGAAGAUACGGUUCCCAGAACCGAGAGAGCGGUCGCAUGAACCAAACAAUACGGCCGAUAUUGAACACCGAACAUUCGGUUCAUACGACCGAACUUUUUUCUCAGUGUAUUAUAGUUUCUUCUUCACCACAGGGGCUGAGAGGGAAUUCGCAUGUCAUGUUUGGUCCUUUCAGGAGGACACGCAGUAAAGAAAAAAAUAUAACGAACCCAUGGGCGUGGCUAGGGGGGUCCUGGGGGGGGGGCUGCCCCCCCCUCCCUUAGAAAAACGGAGACACAAACUCGGACAACAUGUGACCGGCCACGCGGCACACAGCAAAAUAUUCUGCGAAGAAUCAAGUCGUGGCUUCGUUCUACGACCGGUCAUUCAAGAUUUUCAAAUCUUGCUAUUCUUCACAUAGAAAAGCUAGUUUUCACAGAAAAGGUUCCCGCUGCUGCUAUCAUCGAAGUUUUUUGUCGUAAGAAGAGAAAAUUCAUGUAAUCCAAAUUUUGCCACUUGUCAUCGCUUCCACUCACUUACAUGCAAGUAGCGAAGUUUUUUUUUUUUUUUUUUUUUUGUUUUUGUAAAUUACCAUAUCAAUUUCAGCUUUCUUCUUUAUGCUACAUUUAUACGUGACUGUUGUUUUCUUUUCGAGAGAAUAAAGUCUAAAGAUAAAGAACCAACUUGAUUAUGAAGUCUGUGCUAUUACUUCCUGACCCAAAUUAUCCCUCUAAGUAUUCUAAAUAAAUGAAAUGUCAUUAAAAACAUGUUUAUUUUACACUCUGAAGACGCUUAAUUUAAAAACAAAUCCGGUUGCGGGGGGGGGGGGGGCGCGCUACCUCUUAAACUUGGGAUCCUCCACCCCCCUCCCGCUCUCUUCACCACGAGAGGUGGUCCCAUGCCCCCCCCCCCCAGAGAAAUUUCCUAGCUACGCCCCUGAACGAACCGCAAGAAAGACACCCUAAGGAAGAAGAUUAAUUGGUUACAUUUCCGCCAAAUACAAUUGAGGAAAGAGAAAUCCCACUCGAUACUCGUUUGCGAAAAUUUCUCCGGCCAUUUUAAAGACUUAACAUCGCAGAGAAGAGCACUAAUUUUUCCAGACCUAGUUUCUUCUCGCCCACAGCGAUUCUUAAAAUUGAGAUAACCAGCAGCUACGCAAAGUUACACGUCUAAAUGGCGCAUGCAACUCCCCUAAGUAAUUAUGUCCAAAUGUGCGCGUGACGCAGCUAUGUCUGGACGAAUGACGCUGUUAUUUUAUAAGUUGGUACCAUUGCUUUCCCUCUACUUAAACCCAUUAAAAAUAGCGCUUUUGGGUGAGGCAAGCUGCUUUGUCAAGAAUCGAUUAUUUUACAAACAUCGAUGGCGACUUUCAAGAAUCGCAACUGAACUUGUCCUGGUAAAUCCAUCCAAUCGUUCUCAGAUGAAGGUUUACCUUUUAAUCAGUCAUAUUUUAUGUUCGUUCUUACGCUUUGUGCAUUAUUAUUGAUCGUCUGUUUAGAUUUGAAGGAGAAGACAGAUCUCUCGCCGAGAGGCGAAAAGACAGCAGGAGCAACAAAAAGAGUGGCUGAAUCGACAGAUAGGGGGAGGAAAAAUACUUUGGACACCGAAUUACGAUCGAAUCACGAGUAUUUCGAGUAUUUACUUGAGCGAAACCGUCGAGCGAUACAGCUAGACGCUCUGGAGAAAGAGUGCAUCAAACACAUGCUUCAGACUGUGCAACACUACAAUACGAUUUUGGUGAGGGGAAUGAAUUUUAGAAGUUCAGCUGAACCGCGUUAAGUAGAGAGGAACCAAGGCACAUCAGCUACUGCCAAAUGGGCCUGUUGCAUGCAAGAGAUACAGCCGUGCGAAUAGACUUUUAAGUGGUUAAAUGAUACAAAAUAUUACGAUGGUCACAUUAAAAAAGUCUGAAAUACGCUCCUUACUGCGCAAUUUGCGUUGUAAGGAACGCGCUUUUUCAAAUUUCCCGCGUCUAGGGGCAGUUUUUCUAAUCACCGGAAACGAGCAAAUGGCGGGCUCGGUGAUUUCCGGAAGAUGCCGAGUCGUUGUUGAUGUUCUUCUUUUUUCCUUAAGUUUGUUUUUGGUUUGUUUACAAACCCAACGUGAUCUCUCAUAGUGGUCCAUAUACGCUUUACGCAGUAACUAAAUUAAUCAACUUUUAAGUAUCCAACGCAAUUCUUCUACAUUUCAUUUCACGAUAUCACAAUCUCCGAUUUCAGGUUAUGUUGUCAGUUUCAGUUGACCGGAAAUAGCCGCGAGUUGCCGUUACUUGUUUCCGUUAGAAAACUGCCCCCAGACGCGGGAAAUUUGAAAAAGUGCGUUCCUAACAACGCAAAUUGCGCAGUAAGGUGUGUAUUUCAGACUUUUUUAAUGUGACCAUCGUAAUUUCGUGUCAUUUUACCUCUAAAAAGUCUAUUCAUACGUCUGUAUCUCUUGCAUGCUACAGGCCCAUUUAACUGGAGAAUUACAUUUUUUACAUAAUAACGAUUGUGCGAAUUUUUGUGCAAAUUUCAGUGAAUUUUCUGCUUAGUACGGAGGAAGUUCCUUAAAACUUUCAAAGGAAUCCGCGAAAGCGUUCUCUUGUGAAUAAUUGAAAUGCUCAGUUCUUGGCAAUGGCUGGUGCGGCUUACUUUCUUUCUGGUAAACGCGGUCCAUUUCUUCUUUUAUCUUUUAUUCCGAAUUUUAAUUGGAUAGCAAGUGACGGUCGUAAGGUACGUAGCCGGAAGGGCUCAUGGUGUUUUUUGCAACUUUUGACGAAGAUUUACCAUUGUUAGUCGAUGUUUUUAGAGUUGUACGUAGCUGAUUCAGGGACAAAAUAAUGCUAAACGGGGAAAAAAUUGUCGAAAAAAGCUACCGCUUGGCGAUAUUUAACAUUUAAGAGAAACGCUUCAAAUAUAUGUUUUCAAUGCCCGCGGCGAUUACGACCGAGGGCACCGUGGAUAAUCCGAAACAACAUAACGCGGCAGGAAAGAAAAAACUCAAAAUUUUGAGAACAUCAUUUAAAAAUAAAUCGUAGGGACGCUUACUGUCAGGUUUCAAAAAGAGGUAUAGCUAUUGGUUCAGAAUCGAUUAUUUGCGUAUACCUGUUAGAUCAAGUAUGGAGACAUCACUCGCAGAAGAACUUUCUGAAAAAGUUUUGGGAUGCCAAUGUGCAACGUUUUUAAACUCUUGGUAACAAAGAGGACAGAAAGAGCGAAAAAAGCCGCUCAAAGUGACCGCGUACAACGGAGGCGCGGAUAAAUCGAAUCUACUAACAAGAAAUUGGAGUUUCAUGAGAUUCCAUACUCUACGAAGGCUGGUGUAAAAAUGCAGACGAAGUUUUGCUUAAUGACGUCACAUUAAUGAAACAAUAGUACUUGUAAAUAUUUACAGUUAACCCAGCAAUGCAUUUAUAAAAAAGCCACACUUCAGUGUUGAAUAUUGAGGCCUAAAAAAAAACAGCGAAUGAUGUCACGUUCGUGUGCUUAUAACGUAAAAGAUAAGUAUUCCAGAGCACACUUAAGCGCAGUGGUGACAUGGUCGUAAGUAUACAGAAUUAAGCGAGUUCGAAAACGAUUUUAAACGCCUUCAAAAUGACGAGUAGGUAACAUGUAAGGCAAUCAACGGUUUGCAGCGCGUAAUGAAAGACCCACACAAUGGCGGCCGAAUUCAAAGAGAUAAAUGUGUGGUAUCUCAUUCGGGAGGGGGAGGGGAGGGGGUUGUUUUUUGAAGUUAUUACAUUUCGUGCUUAGGUUGAAGGAAAAAUCUCAUGUUGAGAUGCUCAUUAUUAUCAGAGACUUUGUACAGGUGGCAUCCAAAACUGUCAUGAUCUUUUCCAAUUUCCAAAAGAUUUCGGUAAUUUCUUUGAAACAGGUUUGAUUUUUAUCUUCCGUUGAGUUUAAAAAAAAAAUAACAGAAAAAAUAAACAGAAACACCUAGAUACGUUUUUUAAAAACGUACUGGAAUAGUUCUUCUUGCGGUAACGGAGAAUCUUACCAACAAGAGCUCUAGAAACAUUGGUUUUCCUUUUCAUUUUGGAUCUUAUUUUGAUGCCAAAAUGUAUCAAUAAAAUUCUACCAACAGCGUCAUUCGUGAGAUUCAUAAAAAUACAAAAGACAUGUUUACCGACAGAAUGAUAGAACAAACAAUGUGUAAAAAUAGAGAGUAACAAAAAAUUCAUGCAAGCCCGUGAAGAAAAUCCCACGUUAUUUCGUUUUUCGAAGACACGUUUGCAGCUCAGGCCGGGGUUUCACAUCUAAGUCGGAGAUGUCGAGGUCUUCAUUCUGUGGAAGAGAAG
rnacentral:lncRNA from 1 species